UCCAGGGGCAGCCAUGGCAGGGAGGGGAGGCGAUGCUGCGCUCCGGCGCCGGCGCCGCAUCAGGCGGCUGCAGGGAGGUGGGAGCCGCACGCGGAGACGGAGGGGGAUAUAAUGAAGAGGCAUGGAUGAGAGGCGGGCGAGCGGGAAGGGCCGGGGCAUCGCCCAUGAUGCAGGCGAGCGGGAAGGGCGGCGGCCUUGCGGUGGCGCAGUCGGCGAGGCCCUGUCGGAUCUUGCCGGGUCCGGUCAGAAACGGCGCGCAGGCGGCGGAUCUGCAAGGAAGGCGGCCGGAGCUUGGAGCACAACGGCUGGCGCGUGCGGCAUGGCCGGUGUCGGGUACCCGUCAGAGAAGAGAGAGAUGCGCGGGAGAUAAAAGAGAGGAUGGGAGGCCGGAGGAAGAGAGAAGGGAGUGGUAGUCAUGCUGCUGCUCGCCGGUGGCUAGCCGGAAUUGCAGCCCCGCGCAUCACGUGGUGACAAGGCCCAGGUCUUCUUGACCCGUUGCCUCAUUCUUUCUCAGUAGAACAUUAUUUUUCGCUGGUCUUGCAGAUGUAUUCAUGUGUAGCUUUUAGAUCUUGCAAAUUAGGGAUUUUGGUAAUAUGCGCUGAUCUCUUUAUGUGUUGAGUGGCCAGCCUGCAGUUCCCCCGCUCAUAUUCGAACAGGCACAAAUUCAGCUCUGAUCGAUCUCUGCAUCCAUCUGGAAACUGAAGUACUAUCAUGGUAAAAAUCUAGGCUGGAUUGCUAGCUUCCUCCAAGGGCAAGAUCGCCGCCACUGCCAGCACUAAGAAAACAACUGGCGAUGGCAAGGCGGCCAAGGUCUUCUCCCAAACCGGCCAGAAGUUUGAAACACCAGAGGAGAUCGAGCGGCAAGACACAGAGCCUCAACAUGCAUGGGUUGUCUUUUGUUGAGUCAUACUUGAAUUUGCCUCCACAAAAGUCACACGUGAAUUAUGAAGUUAACUACCAUGAUGUCUAGGUACUUAUUGCUGCCGCUGCUCACAGGUUAUUUUGAUGGUGUUUUUCGCUGAGCGUCUUGCAUGGCCAAUCCUUCCAAAUUUCAAUAUAUGCAUUCAUGUUUCUCUUAACUUCUAACUUCUAAGGCACCAAGACUGGACAUUCCUAUGGCGACUCUCCCAUUUAUGGUCAAUAAAGUUGUUCAUAUGUGUUUUUUUAGUGCUCCCCUAAAUAUCUAAAGAAAAAUUGUUUUUAUCAUCGGCUAUACCAGAUAAUUCAAAUAGUCCCUAAUCUUGCACAUGCCUUUUUUGUUUAAGUUUGUCUUUUGUAUGAGAUAAUUUGGAGAAAUUUAUGUUGUUUCCGGUGGCAAAGAGCAACAUGAACUAUUGUUGCAAGUCCACCAUAUUUUCUCAAAUUUUAUAAGCUAUUCAUUGGCAUGUAUUUUAUUAGUUUUAUUAGUGCUUCCAUUACUUUCUAUUAAAAUAUGCUUAAUGGGCUAGAGACUGUACCUUUUCAAAAAGUUACAGUGUGUGGUAUGUUUGCUGAAGUUGUGAUGGCAGUUCUUCAGGCAGGACCUUCGUCCAUAUAGAUUUUCACUUUAAACAUCAUUAUAUUUUGGACAAAUGAUGUGCUUACUGAAUUGUCGUUGUUUAUUUUUUGAAGUUAUGCCAUUCAUAAUAUUGCAUUGUAGAUAGACAAAAAGAUAUAGGUAUUGAUUUUUGUGGCUCUAGCAUAAAUGUUUAUCACCACGGUGACAUUUCUUGUUCAAUUUAGAUAAGGGAAAAAACAAGUAUUAAACAGAAAGUAGAGAGGAUAAGAGCAUUGUAGUCCAGGGUGGUUCAUGCCAAAGACUGUAACAAAAUAAUUUCUUAUGAUAGUGCAAAUCAUUGAUGAUGCAGCAGAAGUAACACAAGUUCUGCUAGAAUUUCUCUCAGAUAACAUGGAUAGAGGUCAGUUUUGCAUAAUCCAUCUAUGUAAGAAGCUUGCAUUGAGUAAUUCUUUUCAAGAAGCUUACCAUGCAUAACUACAUGAUACUUGCAGAUCUUAGUGUCAAUUGACAGCGACAUUCUUCAAUGGGAAACCCUGCAUAUAAUUGUCUUGAGUACAGCAAUACAUGAUUUUGUGGCAAUAAAAUGGUCAUGAUUAAUGCAUAAUGUGUGCUCUGUCCGCAUUUUAAUUAUUUAUAUUAAUAUUUCUGGUUAUCACUGCAGGAGUUGCAAUGGAGUUGAUGAGGCAAGUCUGCAAUGCAGACUGCUAAAUGGUAACCACUCCAGAUUUUAUGGACAGUAAAUGGUCCACUGCUAUUGACAGGUGCGUUCCUGCACUCUUCUGACCCAGAUUUGGCAUGAUUUCCAUUUUUUACAAUCAUUGUGUAGUUGCACAAAAAUGAAUACUACUUGGAAAUACGUAAGAGCAUUGCUCAAAACUCACAAACAGACACAACUUUGAAUCAACGAUUUUAUUUAGACAAUGAAACAGUGUUUUUCGACUGAAAAAUCUGUAGUAUAUUUUGAAUUUUAAAUGUAUACACCAAGAAAACAUAGUUCUCUUCAAUUGAAAUUUAAAUUCAUGUUUUGGAAAUCAAAACCAUCUGAAAUUUCAUGAGUUCCGGCUAGAAUGAUUAAUGCUACACCGCUGCUAAUGCCAAAGGUUGUGGCACCUUUGUUUAAUGAUAGUGCAAAUUGAUUGGUCAUGCAGCCAUUGCAACGCAAGUAGUACAAGUUCAUCAUGUGCACCGCCCAUCCAUGAAUUCUUUUUAUCAUUGUUUCUCCCUUCGCAAUGCACGGGCACAUAGUAGGAGAGAUAUGUGUGGUUGGUGGGUGCUAAAUGGUCGUCCCCUCGAAGACAUGGACAAGGUGCGUGUGGUUCACAAUGCGACCUCAUGUCUUACCACGUCAACCAGCCGAUGCUCAUCAUCAGACAUGCUCUUCUCCUAGACGUCAUUGGGAAGAAGCCCAUCUCUUUUGAUCCAUUUGUGCCCUUCACUAAUGCACGUGGAGUCGGACUGAGAGUUUCUCAGGGGUGUGACACAAACUACUUGAGUUUAAACUAAUUUUCGUAUCUACUAAAAUUUUCUUUAAAAAAUUUAAAGUA